UGGGGAAUAUUGCACAAUGGAGGGAACUCUGAUGCAGCGACGCCGCGUGAACGAAGAAGGCUUUCGAUUCGUAAAGUUCUUUUAUAUGGGAAGAUAAUGACGGUACCAUAAGAAAAAGCCCCGGCUAACUACGUGCCAGCAGCCGCGGUAAUACGUAGGGGGCUAGCGUUGUCCGGAAUCACUGGGCGUAAAGGGUUCGCAGGCGGAAAUGCAAGUCAGGUGUAAAAGGCAGUAGCUUAACUACUGUAAGCAUUUGAAACUGCAUAUCUUGAGAAGAGUAGAGGUAAGUGGAAUUUUUAGUGUAGCGGUGAAAUGCGUAGAUAUUAAAAAGAAUACCGGUGGCGAAGGCGACUUACUGGGCUCAUUCUGACGCUGAGGAACGAAAGCGUGGGUAGCAAACAGG
rnacentral:rRNA from 1 species